rfam:Proteiniphilum acetatigenes MPI_scaffold_2682, whole genome shotgun sequence.
UCGCUCGUGAGGGCGAAUCUGAAGGAAGUCGACGACAACAAAUCCGUAAUCAAA